GGCCGCGAAUUCGCCCUUCGGUAAUUCCAGCUCCAAUAGCGUAUAUUUAGGUUGUUGCAGUUAAAAAGCUCGUAGUUGGACUUUGGGACGGGUCGGUCGGUCCGCCUCGCGGUGUGCACCGGUCGACCCAUCCCUUCUGUCGGCGAUGCGUGCCUGGCCUUAACUGGCCGGGUCGUGCCUCCGGCGCUGUUACUUUGAAGAAAUUAGAGUGCUCAAAGCAAGCCCACGCUCUGGAUACAUUAGCAUGGGAUAACAUCACAGGAUUUCGGUCCUAUUGUGUUGGCCUUCGGGAUCGGAGUAAUGAUUAAGAGGGACAGUCGGGGGCAUUCGUAUUUCAUAGUCAGAGGUGAAAUUCUUGGAUUUAUGAAAGACGAACCACCGCGAAAGCAUUUGCCAAGGAUGUUUUCAUUAAUCAAGAACGAAAGUUGGGGGCUCGAAGACGAUCAGAUACCGUCCUAGUCUCAACCAUAAACGAUGCCGACCAGGGAUCGGCGGAUGUUGCUCUUAGGACUCCGCCGGCACCUUAUGAGAAAUCAAAGUCUUUGGGUUCCGGGGGGAGUAUGGUCGCAAGGCUGAAACUUAAAGGAAUUGACGGAAGGGCACCACCAGGAGUGGAGCCUGCGGCUUAAUUUGACUCAACACGGGGGAAACUUACCAGGUCCAGACAUAGCCAGGAUUGACAGACUGAGAGCUCUUUCUUGAUUCUAUGGGUGGUGGUG
rnacentral:rRNA from 1 species